AGCUUGCUCCUUUGACGUUAGCGGCGGACGGGUGAGUAACACGUGGAUAACCUACCUAUAAGACUGGGAUAACUUCGGGAAACCGGAGCUAAUACCGGAUAACAUAUUGAACCGCAUGGUUCAAUAGUGAAAGGCGGCUUUGCUGUCACUUAUAGAUGGAUCCGCGCCGUAUUAGCUAGUUGGUAAGGUAACGGCUUACCAAGGCAACGAUACGUAGCCGACCUGAGAGGGUGAUCGGCCACACUGGAACUGAGACACGGUCCAGACUCCUACGGGAGGCAGCAGUAGGGAAUCUUCCGCAAUGGGCGAAAGCCUGACGGAGCAACGCCGCGUGAGUGAUGAAGGUCUUCGGAUCGUAAAACUCUGUUAUCAGGGAAGAACAAAUGUGUAAGUAACUGUGCACAUCUUGACGGUACCUGAUCAGAAAGCCACGGCUAACUACGUGCCAGCAGCCGCGGUAAUACGUAGGUGGCAAGCGUUAUCCGGAAUUAUUGGGCGUAAAGCGCGCGUAGGCGGUUUUUUAAGUCUGAUGUGAAAGCCCACGGCUCAACCGUGGAGGGUCAUUGGAAACUGGAAAACUUGAGUGCAGAAGAGGAAAGUGGAAUUCCAUGUGUAGCGGUGAAAUGCGCAGAGAUAUGGAGGAACACCAGUGGCGAAGGCGACUUUCUGGUCUGUAACUGACGCUGAUGUGCGAAAGCGUGGGGAUCAAACAGGAUUAGAUACCCUGGUAGUCCACGCCGUAAACGAUGAGUGCUAAGUGUUAGGGGGUUUCCGCCCCUUAGUGCUGCAGCUAACGCAUUAAGCACUCCGCCUGGGGAGUACGACCGCAAGGUUGAAACUCAAGGAAUUGACGGGGACCCGCACAAGCGGUGGAGCAUGUGGUUUAAUUCGAAGCAACGCGAGAACCUUACCAAAUCUUGACAUCCUUUGACCGCUCUAGAGAUAGAGU
rnacentral:rRNA from 1 species